UACGGAGGAUGCGAGCGUUAUCCGGAUUUAUUGGGUUUAAAGGGUGCGUAGGCGGGUUAUCAAGUCAGCGGUAAAAUCGUGGAGCUCAACUCCAUCCAGCCGUUGAAACUGAUGAUCUUGAGUGGGCGAGAAGUAUGCGGAAUGCGUGGUGUAGCGGUGAAACGCAUAGAUAUCACGCAGAACUCCGAUUGCGAAGGCAGCAUACCGGCGCCCGACUGACGCUGAAGCACGAAAGCGUGGGUAUCGAACAGG
rnacentral:rRNA from 1 species